rnacentral:rRNA from 1 species
AGUGAACGCUGGCGGCAGGCCUAACACAUGCAAGUCGAGCGGAUGAGUGGAGCUUGCUCCACCCUUCAGCGGCGGACGGGUCAGUCAUGCCUAGGAAUCUGCAUGGUCGUGGGGGACAACGUUUCGGAAGUAACGCUAAUACCCAUACGUCCUACGGGAGAGAGCAGGGGACCUUCGGGCCUUGCGCUAUCAGAUGAGCCAUGGUCGGAUUAGCUAGUAGGUGAGGUAAUGGCCCACCUAGGCGUCGAUCCGUAACUGGUCUGAGAGGAUGAUCAGUCACACUGGAACUGAGACACGGUCCAGACUCCUACGGGAGGCAGCAGUGGGGAAUAUUGGACAAUGGGCGAAAGCCUGAUCCAGCCAUGCCGCGUGUGUGAAGAAGGUCUUCGGAUUGUAAAGCACUUUAAGUUGGGAGGAAGGGCAGUAAGUUAAUACCUUGCUGUUUUGACGUUACCAACAGAAUAAGCACCGGCUAACUUCGUGCCAGCCGCCGCCGUAACAC